UAGGAUGUCAAUUUAGCUUACUGAAAGCUUUAGAUGCCCUCGUUUCCUCUCUAAUUAGGGAGAUUUCCGGCGAUCCUUUGUGUGGUGGCUUAUUGCCUUUUCUCUUAUUAUUUUUAUUUCCCUCACGGUGAGUGGACUUUAUUGACCGGCUAGUGUGACGAUCUGGUUUUUCCUUAUUUCAUUAUUUUCUUUCCUUCUUUAAGCUCUUUUUUUUCUUUCGUGACUGGAAAUUUCCAAUUUUCUUUCCUUGUGCCCAAAUUCUUUCUAUUUCUAAUGAUGUCCCAAAAAAUUGUGAUUGAUUUAUGUGUUAUUAAUGGAAGUUUCACAACAAUUACGCUAGAUCUUUUACCUAAGAACACGCGUAUCGUUUUUGUCUCCGCCGCCGGAAGCUUCAACUGUC
rnacentral:lncRNA from 1 species